rnacentral:lncRNA from 1 species
UGAGAAUAAGCCCAUUGCCUGUUACAUUAUUUGAUAAUCAGCUUCCAUAAAGGUAGUCAUGUAAGUAUAUCUCAGCAAAGUUUGAAGACAACAUUCAUUGCACAAGUUACUUAGCCACCUAAAUUAUUAAAAUACAUGAGAGAUUUAGAAAUAAAUCUGGGCAGUGAGAAUUUCUUUUCUAAAUAUUCCCUGAUCUCUACUGUUCUGGAUUUUGACCAAUCCAACUUGAUUAAUCUUGAAUUAUGGUAUUCUCAUAGUUUUUUAUGGAUAAGGAGUUAAGACUGUGAAGGUUCAUAAUCUGUGUAUUCUAAAUGAAGAAAAAUGCCCUCUUGUAUCCAAUAAAUAAGACAUCUGUGAACUGGCAAAUGCUAGCACAAACAAGUCCAUUUGGUGACAGUAAAACUGUCACGAACAUGUUUAAAGUGAAAAUAUACAGCUAGGAAAAUUUUACAAGAUGCAGAUGUCAUGUAAGGCAGUGAAUUGAGGCCAAAUGACCCAAAAGAUGUAAUGGGAAGGGAUUUUUAUGAAAUGAGUAAGAAAUUGGAGAAGGUGAAACACACAUACACACACAAUAGGGUGACCCUCCCUAUUACAUCACUUGGCUAGUACCCAGAGCCAUCUGAAAAGUGAAACAUGUGUCCCCAAGCAACUGACCUUGGCUGAAGAGUCACUAAGAAAAAGGCCAAAGGUAGUCCCAAGGGCUUGACCCUGGCUGUCUCAGACAGGAGCUCUGAAAAUUCCUCUCAACCCUUUGGCGGUGGUUUAUAAGUUCCUACAAAGUCCUCUAAGACCUCCCUCAGUGCUCUUCUAUCAUUUUGAGUUUGAGAAGGUACUCAGGGAUGAAUGUCACUGCUUCGCCACACAUGGCAGCCCCCCUCACUGCUUUCUCUGAGGCAUUCUUUAGGAAAUGAAAUUCCAGUUCACUGACAUCCCACUUAGAGCUCAAUUUUUUCUACCACAGAUUCCUUACCAAGAUUUCCUAUUAAAGACAGGACAGUAUAAGAAUUGGAACAAUGUGACAAUAGUUUUUUUCUGAUGUACUGUAAAAUGUAAUGUAUGUUAUUUCUGUAUCACAGUUUCCUUUUAUAUUUGCCUUUAAGGUAUUGAUUGUCAUUUGCGUGUUUUAUCAUUUAAACUUUAGAGUACAUACUGGAGAGAAAAUCCCUCUGAAGUCAAUACUAGUAUUCUAGGUUUUCCCAAGAUAAAAAACUGAGAUACACUUGAGAGGUUACAUGUCACAAAUUAGAAACGAAUGCACUACAAAAGCACAAUAUAAUAAAUCAAAGCCCUUUUCUUCUAUAAUUCUCUCUCUCCACAUCAGAAUUACAUACAUUACAACUCAGCAUGACUUUACACGUAUAAUCAAAAUCCUUGUUUUAAAAACAAGGCCUAGGAAGUUUAACUAAAUUGCUUGGGUUAUAGCAGAGGAGGAAAUGCCUGCUAGUUUCUUCCAUGUUCGCUUGACAUUUAACUUGUUUCUCACUGAGACCCAGAUUCUCACACUUCUGAACUCAUAGAAAGUAAAAUUCCCCCGAAGAGCAGGCAGAAUGCUUUAUAAAUUCUGUGUCCCGAAUAACUAAGUACAAUAAAUGGAGAUAAACUACUUCCCAAAAUAUUUGAUUUGUUUUCUAAGUGACACAGAAUUAAAUAAGAUGUAUUUCCAAAUAAAAACAGCCAAGAAUGGACAUAAUUUUCCCAAUUUGCA